UACGGAGGGUGCGAGCGUUGUCCGGAAUCACUGGGCGUAAAGCGUGCGUAGACGGUUAUGUAAGUCAGAUGUGAAAGCCCCGGGCUCAACCUGGGAAUUGCAUUUGAGACUGUGUAGCUAGGGUGCGGAAGAGGGAAGCGGAAUUUCCGGUGUAGCGGUGAAAUGCGUAGAUAUCGGAAGGAACACCAGUGGCGAAAGCGGCUUCCUGGUCCAGCACCGACGUUCAGGCACGAAAGCGUGGGGAGCAAACAGG
rnacentral:rRNA from 1 species